AUGAGCCCCUUGUCACUGCACCCCAUGCUUGCGCGGCUGCCUCUUAUACGCAGCUCAAGCGUUUUCCCCAGCGCAUCGUCUCCAGCUCCGGCUAUUUUGCCAGAACCCACGGCGAGUUGGAUAAUUUUCAAGACGGAUGCUGGAAUCAGCUUCUUGUUUUGCUACAACCGGCAAAUAAAAAGCUGGAACCAGCAUGUAGUUUUGGUGCAUUGCCUGGAGUGUUUUCUACGGCAACAACGGCGGCCGCCUCAUUUGUUGCAUCCAACAAGACAAAAGCUUCUACCGGCGAUCUUUUUUGCUACCACAACGACUGACGAAAGUAGUGACCAAGAGAUGGCUUUGCAGCAAACAAUCUAUUUUCAGGCAAAGCUAGAGCUGGAACCAGCUUUUGUUUUUGCUACAACCGGCAAAUCAAAAGCUGGAACCAACCACAUUUUUUGCUGCAUCCUCGGAGUGUUUUCCACACUGACAGCGGAGUGCAUGAUUUUGUUGCAACCGGCAAUCACAAAAACUACAAUCGGCGAUCGAUUUUGCUACAAUGAUUCCUUCUGGCGAGCUCGUCGCUUUGGGUGCAGCGACCGGCGACCGACGUUGCCGGAGCCGCGGCCAUCACCAGGCGAGGGAGCUGCAACCAAUGGGGUGAAAGCUUCCUGCAUACAUGGAUUCGACAAGAAACUCAGGAGACGACGGCGGCGGGGACGGCGACCGGCGGCGAGAGCGGCGACCGGCGGCGAGGGAGGCGACGGGUGA
rnacentral:rRNA from 1 species